rnacentral:rRNA from 1 species
UACGUAGGUGACCAGCGUUGUCCGGAUUUACUGGGCGUAAAGAGCGCGCAGGCGGUCGUUCAAGUCGAGUGUGAAGGCCCCCGGCUCAACUGGGGAGGGUCAUUCGAUACUGAUCGACUUGAAGGCAGGAGAGGGAAGUGGAAUUCCCGGUGUAGUGGUGAAAUGCGUAGAUAUCGGGAGGAACACCAGUGGCGAAGGCGACUUCCUGGCCUGUUCUUGACGCUGAGGCGCGAAAGCUAGGGGAGCAAACGGG